UGCCUACGGGAGGCAGCAGUGAGGAAUAUUGGUCAAUGGACGAGAGUCUGAACCAGCCAAGUAGCGUGAAGGAUGACUGCCCUAUGGGUUGUAAACUUCUUUUAUAAAGGAAUAAAACGAGGCACGUGUGCCUUUUUGCAUGUACUUUAUGAAUAAGCUCCGGCUAACUACGUGCCAGCAGCCGCGGUAAUACGUAGGGAGCAAGCGUUAUCCGGAUUUACUGGGUGUAAAGGGCGUGUAGGCGGGCUUGUAAGUCAGAAGUGAAAUCUGGGGGCUUAACCCCCAAACUGCUUUUGAAACUGCGG
rnacentral:rRNA from 1 species